rnacentral:rRNA from 1 species
AGGGUGUAAACGCUGCAGACUUGGUGUUGGAAAUCCUUCGAGGGUAUUCAGUGCCGGAGAGAAGUUGUUAAGUCUGCUACUUGGGGAGUACGUCCGCAAGGAUGAAACUUAAAGGAAUUGGCGGGGGAGGCACCGCAACGGGAGGAGCGUGCGGUUUAAUUGGAUUCAACAACCGGAAAACUACACCAGGGAGGACUGUUACAUGAAACCCAACGACUAAUGAUCUUGGUUGAUUUCUAGAGAGGAGGUGCAUGGC